rnacentral:ncRNA from 1 species
AGUCGGAUAAGGCGUUCACGCCGCAUCCGACACGGUAUUGGGGUGCAGAUGCCAGAUGCGACGCUGGCGCGUCUUAUCUGGCC